AGGCUCCGCUGGGCCGCUGGAACGAGGAGCUAUUGUUGGAGGCAUCUUUGUGCAAAUCCUUCCCUCCGGCGUCCCCAAAGCCGCGCUCCUUUUGUGGCGGGGCCCCCCCGGCGGUGCUGCUCGGGGAGGGAGGGGGCGAGGAGGAGGAGGAGGAGGAGGAGGAGGAGGCAGGGGAGGCCUCGAGCUUCGCGUACAGCCCCGGCUGAGCCCCCGAGCUCGGCGCUGCGGCCGCGCUGAAACUUUCCAAAGUUGUGGCUCGCAGGGUGCGGGCCCAGAGCUGCUGCGAGAGGAAGAGGAGCUCGGGCUCCCCCGGCCGCUCCUCGCCCGGCGCCUCCCGGAGGGGCUGGAAGCGGGGCAGGGCCGCCUGCCGGUACCGCGUGCUCUGCACCGAGUCCCCGCUGCACAGAGAGCUGCUCUCCGACUCCGAGGAGCUGCCCUCCUCGCUGCUGCACGAGCUGUCCCCUUCCUCCUCCUCCUCUUCCUCCUCCUCCUCCUCCUCCUCCUCCGAGGAGUCGCUGGAGGUGGCGGGGCUGGAGGCGGCCAGGUCCAGGCUGGAGUCCGAGUCGCUGGAGUAGCCGGCGGAGGUUCCCUGGCGCUUGGAGGCGGGGAAGCCGCGGGCCCGGCCCUUCCCGGCUGCCGCGGGUCCCGUUCCGGGCGGGGGGAGCCCCUUGGGCCAGCUCGGGCCCCGCCGGUGGCCACCGGCCGGGAGCGCGCAGGGCUGAGCGGCCGCGGGGUGCAGCAGCGGCAGGUGCCGGGGGGAACCGGCCAGAACGGCCGCAAAGAGCCCCCCCCGGGCCGGCUGGAGCUGCUGCGGGCCGGGGGGCGGCGGGGCCCGGCCGGGGGAGCCGCAACAACCCCCGGCUCUGCAGGGCGGGGGCCGCGGGCAGGGGAAGAACUCCCCGGAGCCCGGCAGCAGCAGCUGCUCCCUUCUCCUGCUCUUCCUCCUCCUCUUCCUCCGGCGGGGGCCGAGGCUCUGGCAGGAGGUGCAGAGAGCCUCCAGGUCCGCUUUGGAGAUGAGCGAGCACUUCACGGCCCGCGUGGGCACCGAGUUGAUGGCCUUGAGGGUCCGCAGCUCGGCCAGGUCGCAGCGGCGGCUCUUGAUCUUUAAGGUUUCCAUCUUCUUGCUGAUGGUGGUCCUGGGGAUGUCCUUGAACAGGUCGCUGAGCACCUGGGCCAGGGCGAACAUCUGGGUGCCGUCGAUUUGUAAGUAGCCCAAGUUGAUUCCUUGGAUUUCUUGGUAGCCGGCGUGGAAAUGGCCCGGCCGGGUCUGUCGGUGGAAAUCCACGGGGGCCGGAGCCAUCGCCAAGGUCCCCUCGCAGGUCAGGAACAUUUUGCCUCGAGAUAUUUAUUAUUGGGGUUUUUUUGUUGGGUUUUUUUGGGGUAUUUUUGGGGUUUUUUUCUUUUGGAUUUUUUUUUUUUUUUUUUUUUUUUUUUUACUUUGUCCCUUUCAAAGAAGGGCACGGAAAAUCAGGAAAAUCAGGACAUUUCUGUUUCCCACUCCGGGAUCGCUCACAUCCCUCCGCAGAGGGGCCAGAGGGGGAGGGGAGGCGAAAAAAAAACCAAAAAAAAAAAAAAAACAAGGAAAAGAGGAAAAAAAAAUAAUAAUAAAAAACCCAGCCGAUCUCGCUUUUCA
rnacentral:lncRNA from 1 species